rnacentral:rRNA from 1 species
AUUGAACGCUGGCGGAAUGCUUUACACAUGCAAGUCGAACGGCAGCACGGACUUCGGUCUGGUGGCGAGUGGCGAACGGGUGAGUAAUGUAUCGGAACGUGCCCAGUCGUGGGGGAUAACGUAGUGAAAAUUACGCUAAUACCGCAUACGAUCUAUGGAUGAAAGCGGGGGAUAGCAAGACCUCGCGCGAUUGGAGCGGCCGAUAUCAGAUUAGGUAGUUGGUGGGGUAAAGGCCCACCAAGCCAACGAUCUGUAGCUGGUCUGAGAGGACGACCAGCCACACUGGAACUGAGUCACGGUCCAGACUCCUACGGGAGGCAGCAGUGGGGAAUUUUGGACAAUGGGCGAAAGCCUGAUCCAGCCAUUCCGCGUGCAGGAUGAAGGCCCUCGGGUUGUAAACUGCUUUUGUACAGAACGAAAAGGUUUCUACUAAUACUAGGAGCUCAUGACGGUACUGUAAGAAUAAGCACCGGCUAACUACGUGCCAGCCGCCGCGGUAA